rnacentral:lncRNA from 10 species
GUAGUCAAUCCCUGGGAGGCAGGCCACUAUUCCUCAUCUAUAGAUGAGAAAACCGAGGCUCAGAAAUGGACAGCUCUGGACCACACCUCACAGUGCCUGGGGAGCAGCCCAGGGGAGAUGGCAGGCAGGUGGAGAAGGAAGUGGUGGCACACUGGGACAGUUGGCACAGGUGCAGGAGGAGCAGGCCAGGCCAAGCCACCGAAUCGGGAGCCAGGGCAGUCUCCCACAAAACUUUCUCUCCCUGGACCAUGGGGCAGUGCAAGGAGGACAGGAAGCUGGGUGGAAGGACUGCAAAGGAGACUGCUUUUCCUGCUACCCUCAGGUACUGAAGCCCAAGUAAGAGUUUUCAGUAGAGAGGGAGUAGACUGAGUGUUGGGCCCUAGGACUGGGCUUCCCUGGGUACUAUCCCAACCCCUGAGCCUCGGGAGAGGUGGAAAUGACCUUCCUCUGCACCGGCAUGCCCAGAGAAGAGAGCCUGGAGCUGAGACUUGCAACUUCUAGAAAACAAACACAAAACUGAGGCCAAGAGAGUGCU